AGGAAAUUGGACUUGGAGGUCAGCGAACGAAUAGACUUUGGUUCUGGAGAUCAUCGACAACUGAUUCGGGAAGCAGCAGAUAAAAGCAUCCAGUCCCAAUCUGGUGAGCGCUACACACCUUCAUCUUCAGCUGGGCCACUAGAAACUCAGGAGAAGCCACGGCCAAAGGACACCGAGCAGUCGAAUACCUAUGUGGUAGAAAUUUCAGAUGACGUCACCCCAGGUGAUAGCAAUGCAACUUUAGGCAAUCCUUUCUCAGACGCAUUUGUCCGCAGAGCUUUCAUUAUCAAAGUGUUCCUCCUCCUGUCAGUUCAGUUGUUGCUCACUGCAGUAAUUACCGGUGUGUUUAUUUUCUGCCCAGCAUUUUUUGCCGUACUUAUUAUACUUGCUUGCUGUGGGAAUCUCCGCCGUCAGGUGCCUGCAAAUUACAUUCUCCUGGGAUUCUUUACAGCUCUGCAAGGUCUGCUGCUAGGAGCCAUAUCAGUUUUCUACAAGGCCGAGGAAGUGUUAUGGGCAACAGCUGCAACCACUCUGGUGACGCUAGCACUCACUUUGUUUGCUCUACAAACAAAAUGGGAUUUUACCUUGCUAAAUGGAGCACUGUUCGUUUUCUGCUUCGUGCUUUUAAUCUAUGGAAUUAUCUUAAUCUUCGUGCGAUCAUAUUGGCUGCAUCUAUUGUAUGCUGGACUCGGAACUGUGCUCUUCUCACUCUACUUGGUGAUGGAUGUGCAGCUCAUGCUGGGAGGGCACCACCAUUAUUCCCUGGAUCCUGAAGAGUAUGUUUUUGCUGCCCUGAACAUCUACUUGGACAUCAUCAACCUUUUCAUUUUUAUUCUGCGUCUGAUUGGACUGGGA
rnacentral:sRNA from 1 species